rnacentral:rRNA from 1 species
AUUGAACGCUGGCGGCAUGCCUUACACAUGCAAGUCGAACGGCAGCACGGGAGCAAUCCUGGUGGCGAGUGGCGAACGGGUGAGUAAUACAUCGGAACGUGCCCAGUAGUGGGGGAUAGCCCGGCGAAAGCAGGAGUAAUACCGCAUACGACCUGAGGGUGAAAGCGGGGGAUCGCAAGACCUCGCGCUAUUGGAGCGGCCGAUGUCAGAUUGGCUAGUUGGUGGGGGAAAGGCCUACCAAGGCAACGAUCUGUAGUUGGUCUGAGAGGACGACCAGCCACACUGGGACUGAGACACGGCCCAGACUCCUACGGGAGGCAGCAGUGGGGAAUUUUGGACAAUGGGGGCAACCCUGAUCCAGCAAUGCCGCGUGCAGGAAGAAGGCCUUCGGGUUGUAAACUGCUUUUGUCAGGGAAGAAAUCUUCUGGGUUAAUACCUCGGGAGGAUGACGGUACCUGAAGAAUAAGCACCGGCUAACUACGUGCCAGCCGCCGCAGUAACAC